UUUUUCUUAAAUAAAACUUGUGUAAUAAGGAAUUUUGUAUUCGAAAAUAAUAAAAUUAACCACUUUAUACUAUGUCCUUAUCUCCUUGCAAAAAAAAAAUUGAUCAUUCAUGAACAAAUCAUAAUUUAUCCGAUUAAAUAUUAUUACUGAAAUAAAGUACCUGUUGUUUAUUGAACAAAAAAAUAAAUAAAAUAGUUUUCAUGCAACGAUUAAAAUUUGAAUUUAUGAUUAAAUCCCUUGGAGAAAAUAGCACCAUAAAACAUAGGCC